rnacentral:rRNA from 1 species
GACGAACGCUGGCGGCGUGCCUAACACAUGCAAGUCGAACGGAAAGGCCCGGCUUUUUUGGGCUGGGCUAGUUACGAACGGGUGAGUUACACGUGGGUAAGCUGUCCUUGACCGUGGGAGAUCCUCAUGAAAGUGGAUCUAAUACGGGAUAGGAGCUCCCGCUUCUUGGUGGGGGUUGGUAGGAUUCGGUGGUUGGGUAUGUAAUCGCGGCGUAUGAGCUUGGUGGUGGGGUGGUGGGUGACCAAGGCCUGGACGGGUAGCCGGCCUGAGCGGGUGACAGGCCACAUUGGAACUGGGAUGCGGCCCAGACUCCUACGGGAGGGAGCAGUGGGGAAUAUUGCACUAUGGGCGGAAGGCUGAUGCAGCAACGCCGCGUCCGGGAUGACGGCCAUCGGGUUGUAUAGCACUUUCGUCUGUGACGAAGCGAGAAUGACGGUAAUGGGUGAAGAAGCACCGGCUAACUACGUG